rnacentral:rRNA from 1 species
UACGUAGGGUGCAAGCGUUGUCCGGAAUUAUUGGGCGUAAAGAGCUUGUAGGCGGGCUGACAAGUCUGGGGUGAAAUGCCACGGCUCAACCGUGGAACUGCCUUAGAUACUGUCGGCCUCGAGGAAGGUAGGGGCAUGCGGAACUGUAGGUGGAGCGGUGAAAUGCGUUGAUAUCUACAGGAACUCCGGUGGCGAAAGCGGCGUGCUGGACCUUUUCUGACGCUGAGGCGCGAAAGCUAGGGGAGCAAACGGG